rfam:Ornithorhynchus anatinus chromosome X2, whole genome shotgun sequence.
AGCAGCGUGGCUCAGUGGAAAGAGCCCGGGGCUUGGGAGUCAGAAGGCAUGGGUUCGAAUCCCGACUCUGCCG